rnacentral:tRNA from 1 species
UCCCUAGUGGCUCAGAUGGUAAAGCAUCUGCCUAUAAUGUGUGUAGACCCAGGUUCGAUCCCUGGAUUGGGAA